GCAGUGUGUGGUUGCUCAAGUUUAGCUACAAGGCCAUAUAAGAGUCCUUCCAAGAGGAGGAUGGGGCGAACUUUCCAGCUAGAGUUUGACCUAAGGAAGGAUUUCAAAACUUACCCCUGCAAUGCUUUAACAGCAUUCAAGUCAAAUGGAGGCUUUUCAUACAGUGAAAUCCACAGUAGCUCUCUGUGGUAUGUAGGGCUACUAGCCAGAUAUACCUGAAAGCAAGCGCUUGCCUUGCUCUCCCUCUGCCACAGAACGAUGACACAGGGAUAACAAAGGGAAAUACCAGGGAAUGUCAAGUCAAACAAAUCGUAGAUCUUCUCUGGCGGCUUCUUUGACCUUGUUCUGAGUGAACACCGUGUACAUCAAGGAAGAUAAUUACAACUUUUUCAAGUCUUCUAAAAUCGAACUCCCUGUGGUGGCGACCAGUAUCUUCAAACUCAUACCAGAGUAAAGCCUUAUCCAUUUGGAGUUCUUUCUGAUGCAUUAUGUGAGAAAAACAAGCAAACAAAUGAACACUUAUUUGUAUUUGAAUUGCACUAAAUUUAUACAUGAAACUGAAAAAAACUGAUAUCUUUAUGAAGCUGCAUAAUCCUAUCCAAGGACAGACGUCUCCUUCCAUUUGCUUUUGCUUUACUAAUUUGAAUCUAUGUUAUUUGUUUUGGAUACAUCUGGAAUUGACUUUUUUGCAUGGUGUAAGAGCCAGCUCUUCUUCAGGAUAAGCAUGCCUGGUUUCUUCAACUUAUUCCACAAGAGUGAACAAGUAAGAAAUAACAGUUCUUCCUGGAUCAGCCCUCUCCCGUCUGUCAUCUCCAACAGAUACAAAGCCAGCUUUAAGAAGACCAAACCUACAAAAAUCAUUCAUGCUUUCUGCCUCCAUGUUUUUCUUUCCAACCUAGUUCCUCCAGAAAAUGUAAAAGAGCAACCGAACCGUCAACUGGUACAAUGACUUCUACACAUCAGACCUCGGCCACGCCACAGUCAUCAGAUUAUUCUAUCACAGGGUCUCUCAACCGUGGAAUAUGGUCUCCAAGGGAAACAAGCCACAGAGGGCUCAGGAGCAUUGCUAUAAAGAGUAGGCAAAUGGAAAUCUUUCCCCAAAGGGCACACUGGGAUUGUUAGGCGAGGGCUGCUCAAUCCAUUAAAAGUUUAAACUCGAAAAAAAAAAA
rnacentral:lncRNA from 1 species